rnacentral:lncRNA from 1 species
UAACCAAUUAUCGGCUCUACUGGUGAUCUGAAAUUAAUUUUAAAAUUUUUUAAUAUUCAUAAAAUAGAACAUUAUUGACUAUUAAACUCGAAUUUACCAUAACGGAAAAAAGGGGUGAGAGAUUCUUACCCUAGAUUGGUGUUCGAGACGCCGUACUUUUCACUGCAUUUCCUUGCGAUUCUCGGGUUUCUUGAAUUUUUCAUGCGAAAAUAAAAAAUACGCAUUACAUAUCUAAAAAUACCCCAAAAAGGCUAAAAUAAGUGUUUUUGAACUUUUCCGACCAAUUUAGAGUUUCGGCACGGUGGUGUCGCCGUGCUCUAGCGUCCACGACGGUGGUUCCUCUCGGCUUGACAGUUUUCAGCCAGUUUAGACCAAUUUUAGCUGGUUUUGCACAAAACCCUAUAAAAAACAAAGCUAAGG